GGAGGAAACGCGGGAUCCUGGGCUGUGUCACCAGCACCCUGGGCUCUGGGGCCUGUGCUGCUGAAUCAUGCUCCCGGCGCCACGCGGCCCCCU
rnacentral:pre_miRNA from 1 species